rnacentral:rRNA from 1 species
UACGUAGGUGGCAAGCGUUGUCCGGAAUUAUUGGGCGUAAAGCGCGCGCAGGCGGUCCCUUAAGUCUGAUGUGAAAGCCCACGGCUCAACCGUGGAGGGUCAUUGGAAACUGGGGGACUUGAGUGCAGAAGAGGAAAGUGGAAUUCCAUGUGUAGCGGUGAAAAGCGUAGAGAUGUGGAGGAACACCAGUGGCGAAGGCGACUUUCUGGUCUGUAACUGACGCUGAGGCGCGAAAGCGUGGGGAGCAAACAGG